CCGUGAAGGCUGUCUUAGAAGAACAUGAAGUAGCUCUACAGAAACAAAAUCCAUCAUCAUGGCUUUCAAAGUUAAAUCCAUUUUCAAGGAAACAGGGUUCCUAAUUCCAGUCUGCACUACAACAGCAUCCACAUGUAAAUCAGUAUUGAAGUAAAUAAAAUACAUCUUUCUUACACAGGCUA